rnacentral:rRNA from 1 species
UGGGGAAUUUUGGACAAUGGGGGGAAACCCCUGAUCCAGCCAUCCCGCGUGUGCGAUGAAGGCCUUCGGGUUGUAAAGCACUUUUGGCAGGAAAGAAACGUCGCGGGUUAAUACCCCGCGAAACUGACGGUACCUGCAGAAUAAGCACCGGCUAACUACGUGCCAGCAGCCGCGGUAAUACGUAGGGUGCAAGCGUUAAUCGGAAUUACUGGGCGUAAAGCGUGCGCAGGCGGUUCGGAAAGAAAGAUGUGAAAUCCCAGAGCUUAACUUUGGAACUGCAUUUUUAACUACCGGGCUAGAGUGUGUCAGAGGGAGGUGGAAUUCCGCGUGUAGCAGUGAAAUGCGUAGAUAUGCGGAGGAACACCGAUGGCGAAGGCAGCCUCCUGGGGAUAACACUGACGCUCAUGCACGAAAGCGUGGGGAGCAAACAGGAUUAGAUACCCUGGUAGUCCACGCCCUAAACGAUGUCAACUAGCUGUUGGGGCCUUCGGGCCUUGGUAGCGCAGCUAACGCGUGAAGUUGACCGCCUAGGGAGUACGGUCGC